UCAUUUCUUUUUUUUUUUUUUUUUUUUUUUUUUUUUUUUUUUUUUUUUUUUUUUUUUUUUUUUUUUUUUUUUUUUUUUUAAUGUACAAAUGUCAAAAGUGAAAAGUAAAAAAAGAAAGGAGCGAAACAGACAGACUGACAGAUGAAUAAAUUAACAAAUAAAUAAACAAAUAAACAAACGAACGAACGAAGCCGCGAAUUUUUCAAAAUGGCUGUAGUACGUCGACGCGAUCAAAAAAAUUCCAACUCCCUCAGAGAGAGAAGAAAAACCAAAAAAAAAAAAAAAGGAAAAGAAAAAAAAACAAGGAAGUCUUCUUAAUAUGACUGAUCUAUAUUCGAUAUAGAUCUAACAUUAAUUGGAGCUGGAUCAUAGUCGUGAUUUAAAAAUCCUAACUUGACCCUGCAACUGCCAUUGGUGCACAAAUGCAAAAGAAAAAAGAAACAAAAAGAAAAAAAAAAGAAAAAACAAGCAAAAAAGAAGGAGAACUCACCCCCACUCAUGCUCGCCGCAAGAAAGAAAAAAAAAAAAAGAAGAAAAAACUUGUACGAUUAAAAAUUAUUUUUUAACACGUCGGAUUAAAUCAGCGCGAUUUAAAUACAUUUUUUGCUAAUUUGAAAUCCGUAUGUAAUGCACGUAAUACACAUAUUUAUCUUUUUUUUUUUAUCCUUCUUUUCCUUCUUCUUCUUCUUCUUCUUUUUCUUCUUUUGCAAUGUGAUGUCACCUUAGAUUAUUAGAAAUUCAAAUGAGAUUGAAUAGUUCGUGUGUAGAAUUUUUUUCUCUUUUUUUUUUUAUUUUCUUCUACGGAAAUAUAUAUGCAAUAAAUUGUCCGACAGUUGUAGGAUCAAUUUGCAACUUACGCUAUGCAUGUGUGUGUGUGUGUGUGUGUAUAUAUGUGUGUGUGUGUGUGUGUAUGUGUAAGUAGAUUAAAACAAAUAAAAUUUGUCAUGGGUUUUUCUGAAAAAGAAUGUUGUAAUUUGUUGAAAGUGUCGAAUUAAACGUCACUUAUUUGUAUAAUUAUAUAUAAUAGGACACGAAUGAAAGAGAAUAGACCAAGUUGAAUUAUUAAAA